AUCAUAAAUCAAUGUCCUCAACUGAUAUUCAUACCCAACCUUGUCCUUAACAUAAUCCACACUUUUGGACGUAAAAUUUAUGAAAUCCUGUAAUGUCAAUCGUAUUAAUACAUUCCUAUCUCGAAUCCAUUGUUACACUCGCCUUUAAUUACGCAUUGCAUAGGAACAAUUCGGCGUAACUCUUGCAGCUCAGGCCAACCAUAUGAAAACUUAC
rnacentral:lncRNA from 1 species